rnacentral:tRNA from 1 species
GCCGGCGUAGCUCAGGGGUAGAGCAGCUGAUUCGUAAUCAGCAGGUCAAGGGUUCGAUUCCCUUCGCCGGCU